GUUUCAGUAGUGUAGUGGUUAUCACGUUCGCCUCACACGUGUAAGGUCCCCGGUUUGAAGCCGGGCGGAAACA